AUUCCGGUGGUUCAGUGGUAGAAUGCUCGCCUGCCACGCGGGCGGCCCGGGUUCGUUUCCCGGUCGAUG
rnacentral:tRNA from 16 species